rnacentral:rRNA from 1 species
GUGAUCCUGACGGACCCCACUGCUAUCGGAUGGGACCUAGCCCAUGUUAGCUGGUGCGUUCCUGGCGAACAGGGACGCAACGUCCGGCUCACUAACACGUAGUCAACCUGCCCGGAAGACGCGGACAAACCCGGGAAACUGGGGCCUAUCCCCGAUAGAUGACCUCAUCAGGAAGGACUGGUCGUCGAAAAGGGCGCACGGGUAUGCUCUGUGCGCACCGCUUCAGGAUGGGACUGCGGCCGAUCAGGCUGUUGGCGGGGUAAUGGCCCACCAAACCUGUAACCGGUACGGGCUUUGAGAGAAGGAGCCCGGAGAUGGACACUGAGACAAGGGUACAGGCCCUACGGGGCGCAUCAGGCGCGAAAACUUCGCAAUGCGCGAAAGCGCCACGCGGCUAGUCCGAGUGCUCCCCGCUAAAGGGAGCUAUUCUCGGCUGUAAAUUGUAUAACG